CACACACACACACACACACACACACAAAGGCAGCCAGACUAUGCACUAGGAACUGCCCUGGGAAUCCCGUUGCAUUCUCACAACAAUCCCAUUUCACAGAUGAAGAAACCAAGGCACAGAAAUAUUCAGUAACGUGUCCAGGUGCGGUGGCUCAUGCCUGUAAUCCCAGUACUUUGGGAGGCUGAGGCAGGCAGAUCACGAGGUCAGGAGUUCGAGACCAUCCUGGCCAACAUGGUGAAACCCCGUCUCUACUAAAAAUACAAAAAUUAGCUGGGUGUGGUGGCAGGUGCCUGUAAUUCCAGCUACUCAGGAGGCUGAGGGAGGAGAAUUGCUUGAACCCGGGAGGCAGAGGUUGCAGUGAGCCGAGAUCACACCACUGCACUCCAGCCUGGGUGACAGAGCAAAACUCCGUCUGAAAAAAAAAAAAGAAAAAAGAAAUACUAAGUAACUUGUCUGAGGCCACUUAGUUACCAAGACGUGGGAGCUGGGACUUGAACCCAGGCAGUCUGGCUGGAUUCAUGCCUGCAGCCUCUGCACUCCUGCUACUUACUGUGUGAGAAGCGCCUGUUCUGUGGAAGGUUGUGGGCUGAGAUCUUUCCAUGACUUCCAUUCAUUUACCCCCAAGGCUGUUCUUAAAGACGGGCAUGACAGUUAUACCCAUUUUACAGAUGGGGCCCUGAGGCUCACAAGGGCACAGCACUCACCCAUUUCCACAAAGCUAUAGCUCGUUAGCAGAGGGCAGAAUUCGGCCGCCUCUCCCCUAGCUCGAAGGCUGUGAUUGACACAGAGGUUUUUUUUUUGUUGUUGCUGUUGUUUGUUCCUUUUUCUUUUUUUUUUUUGAGACAGGGUCUUGCUCUGUCAUCCCGGCUGGAGUGCAGUGGUGCGAUCUCAGCUCACUGCAAACUCUGCCUCCAAGAUGCAAAUGAUUCUCGUGCCUCAGCCUCCCAAGUAGCUGGAAUUACAGGUGUGCACUACCAUGCCCAGCUGUUUUUUGUAGAGAUGGGGUUUCACCAUGGUCUCUACUAAACUCUGUCUCUACUAAAAAUACAAAAAUUACCCAGGCGUGGUGGCACAUGCCUGUAGUCCCAGCUACUCAAGAAGCUGAGGCAGGAGAAUCACUCGAACCUGGGAGGUGGAGGUUGCAGUGACCCAAAAUCAUGCACUCUAGCCUGGGGUCUCGCUUUUGCCCAGGUUAGAGUGCAGUGGCACAAUCAUAGUGGCUCACUGCAGCCUCAAACUCCUGGGCUGAAGGGAAUCCUCCCACCUCAGCCUCCCAAGUAGCUAGGACUAUAGGCAUGUGCCAUCAUGGCGAGUUAAUUUUUUGUGUGUUUUUAUUUUCUCGAGACAGAGUCUUGCUCUGUUGCUCAGGCUGGACUGCAAUGGCGUGAUCUUGGCUCACCGCAACCUCCACCUCCUGGGUUCAAGCGAUUCUCCUGCCUCAGCCUCCCGAGUUGCUGGGAUUACAGGUGCUGCCAUGGCCACGACUGUUGUUACACUCGAGCUGAGGAGGCCGGCUGCAGCCCCAAGACAGAGCGCUACUCCUGGCAGUGCGUCAAUCAGUGUCCUGUGCGGGCAGAAACAGCUGGGCUUAUAAACAGGCAUAGUCCUUUUGAAGGAUGCGGCUGAUCCUACAACAACACACUUUCCUAAGGAUGACAACAACUCACCCCACCCCUAGAAUAGCUGGUAUGAACCGAGUUUCCACACAGUCUAGCUGGCAAUGGGGUCAGGAGACCUUUUGCUGCUUCACAUCUUUUGGUCACUGGGUCUAAACAUUGUACAGAGGUUAAAAACAACACUCCAAUGGGCGUUUCCCAAGACGGUGGGGUUCAGUUUCUGAACUCACUUGUAGGUGUGUAUUUCUUUCAUAUCCAAUUUCCCAUUUUCCUCUGCCUCUGAUACCUACCUCUCCUUUUCUGCAUGCUCACAUUCCUUCAUGCUUAGUUUCCUCAGAUUAGAAGGGAGAGAAAUGCACACACAUGAUCCACCAGCCCGUGUGGGAUUCCCUCUGCCCUUCUGGCAUCUGAAGGCUGUGAUUCAAAGAUCCCCCCUGCAACCUUUCCACAAAUGAACCAACUGAUUCUCACAACCGAAGGGAGAAUGGACACCUCCCACUGAGGGACAAAAAAAAAGUCACACUCUGGCCUGCUGGCAAGUCACCUGUCAUUUCCAGCUCAUCUUCAUAGUUCCAUGGUUAGUCCUAUUCUUUAGUAAAUAUAAAGACUAUUAAAAGCUUCUAUGAGGUGCACUAUGUGUGUUUCUGGGGUCAGUCUUGUGCUUGACACAGCGAAAGCUCAUUUUAGUUCACUGUGAAAAACCAGACCUCACCAAUUCAUCACAACUAACUCCAUCGGAAGCAGAGGAUUGCUCCUCAUCUGACUCCUCCUGUGUGAGACCUGAUUCUCAGUCAGAGGCUGAUGCCGGAACUGAGACCAUCAGCCAUAGAGAGGUCCUUCCAGAAUAUGGUGUCAUUAACCCCGCAGUUCACUACUGCACUCUGCCAUGAUUCAGGACUGGAACUCUUGUCAUCGACUUUAAAGAUCCUGGUUGAGAGAAAAGGCAAUCUGAAUGCUGGGCGCAUCUAUUGAAUUACAAAUGAUUGGAAUGGCUCCUAAGUCAGGGUGUUAUGUCCUGAAAAUAGGUGACAACGGCAAACCAUCCACCCUGGUGUUGACUGACUUUAACAAGGUUCAGUUCACAGAGAUUGAGGGCAGAAAAAGGAAACGGCCUAAAAAGGGUAAGUUUGCUGUGUUGCCCUCACACCACUUGAUUCAUGGUCCUGAUCCUAAGGAUCUCACCUGAUACUUGGUUUUAUAGGAAGCAUGUGUAAAAUUCCCAGAACGCUAGGAAACAGGGACGAAAACACUUCAAAGAGAAAGUUAAUGAACUUGUUUCUGACCACAGGGCAUCCUUCAGCACAUGCUGUCUGGAGUGGCCUCCAACAAGGAGUGUGUGGUGAGGUGCUGAGAAUGCAAUGGGAGCAGGGUCCUGUCCCCACGCUAAAGAAGCUCACAGUUUAAUGCAAAUGAGAAGCCAGUGAGAACAUCACUACUCCUGCUGUGCACUUGGGAACUAGAAACACAAAACCUGACUCUGGAGGGAAGCUAAGGAAGCAUUCUACUCUUGAGUUGACAUAAGUGCAUCUGAAGCUUCUGAUCUCCGAUGAGAACAAUGGGGGACACCAAACAGAAUAUAAAACCCAUGAUUGAAUACAUCAAAUUGCUAACAUGGCAGUAAACAGACAUGAGGUGAAGAUGGAGAAGAAGGAAACCCAGGACGAAAGUCAGCCUCGCAUUUGGAACCCAUUUCCCUGAGUUUCAUUGCUGAAUUCCAGAAGGAACUACUGAGAUGCAAAGAAGCACAGCAGCUUUUGCACACAUGCGUGGGAUUAGAAGGAAAACAAGUGGAUUGAGGGUCUGCCAAUGAAAGCGACCCAUACUGAAGUCCACUGGCUCUGGUUGAGACCCAGAAGAGUCAUGCAUCAGAAUAGAGGUGGACAGGAAAUACCCUGGCCUUUGUAGGGACUGAGCCUGCACCGACGACCUCAAUUGCAGCCUGUAUGGAGGACCCCUGACCAUCCCCCAGAAGUAGACUCCCAUCUCUUCUGCAGCAAGAUAACAUGCUACUAGGCCUCAAUUCAUUGCUAAAUAUUUUUUAACAAGUAUCUCACAUUUAACAAAAAAAGAUCAGUCAUAUGGCAGCAAAAUACAAUGUAAUAUGACCAAAACAUGAAAGACUGUGAAAAUGAAUCUGGAGGUGACCCAAGCAUUGAAUUCAACAAUCCAGGCUGGGUGUGGUGGCUCACACUGGGAGGCUGAGGUAGGCAGAUCACCUGAGGUCAGGAGUUCAAGACUAGCCUGGCCAACAUGGUGAACCUCUAUCUCUACUAAAAUUACAAAUAUUGGGCUGGGCACGGUGGCUCAUGCCUGUAAUCCCAGCACAUUGGGAGGCCGAGGUGUGCGGAUCAUGAUGUCAGGAGUUCUAGACCAGCUUGGCCAAUAUGGUGAAACCCCGCCUCUACUAAAAAUACAAAAAUUAUCCGGGCAUGGUGGCAUAUGCCUGUAGUCCCAGCUGCUCAAGAGGCUGAGGGAUAAGAAUCGCUUGAACCUGGGAGGUGGAGGUUGCAGCGAGCCAAGAUCAUGCCACUGCACUCUAGCCUGGGUGACAGUGUGAGACUCUGUCUCAAAAAAAAAAAUUGGCCAAAUGUGGUGGCACACACCUGUAAUCCAAGCUACUCGGGAAGCUGAGGCAGAAUUGCUUCAAACUGGGAGGCAGAGGUUGCAGUGAGCCAAGAUUGCACCAUAGCACUCCAGCCUGGGCGACAGAGCGAGACUCUAUCUCAAAAUUAAAAAAAAAAAAAAGGCUGGCUGUGGUGGCUCACGCCUCUAAUCCCAGCACUUUGGGAGGCUGAGGCAGGUGGAUUACCUGAGGUCAGAAGUUCGAGACCAGCCUGGACAACAUGGUGAAACCCCAUCUCUAGUAAAAAUACAAAAAUAAGCUGGGUGUGGUGGUGGGCACCUGUAAUCCCAGCUACUCGGGAGGCUGAGGCAGGAGAAUCGCUUGAACCCAAAAGGCAGUGAGCUGAGAUUGUGCCAUUGCACUACAGCCUGGGCAACAACAGCAAAGCUCCAUCUCAGGGGAAAAAAAAAAAAAAAAAAAAAAAAAAAAAGAGAGAGAAAGGAAAACCAAUGCCAGUACUAGCAACUCCUCUUCCCCCGAAAAAAUGACAAACAAGAAUGUAGGAAGGGAAAGGAAUUACACAGCUUAAACUAAUGAAGCAGAAAGGACAAACUCAAUUUUGAACCCACUGAAUUUGCCACAAAUAUUGUAGAAAAUAUUCUCAAGGACUUUACAGUUGUCUACUUUGAUUGGCACAUGGUUCAUACAACAGUAUUUGUGUCAAGGCACAUCUUACUGUUUUUUGGCGGUCUUCCUCUUUCCAUUGAUUUUGUAAUGAUGGUUGACUUUCUUUAUGACCUUCGUCUUACGGAUUUUAGCUUGAACUUUUGUUUCCACCUGUUUCCGUAAAGGACAGAUGUCUUCCAGGCCAAUUUUAAUUCCUGGAAAGGAAGAAACUCUUUUCUUUGUGUGCAUACAAAUGGACCUCAGCCCUUGGUGAGAGUGAGGAGAGGAGAAGGUGAGAAACCUGAGGGCAAGAAGCUGUUCUUUCCCUUUCCAGGGCAAACUCAUUUCCACACUAUGGGGACUCCAACAGAGCCAUACCUUCCUGUCUACGGCGGUUGGACCUCCAGGCUCUCUGCUGUACAUCCGUGGAUCCAUCAUGUCCAUUUUCAGACUGGAAGAUAGUCUUCAGGAAAGACAACUAGGAAAUAAUAAUAUAAGAAUGACGGCUGGGCACGGUGGCUCAUGCGUAUAAUCCCAGUACUUUGGGAGGCCGAGGCAGGUGGAUCACGGGGUCAGGAGUUCAAGACCAGCCUGGCCAAGAUGGUGACACCCCGUCUCUACUAAAAAUACAAAAAUUAGCCGGGCAUGGCAGGGGCGCCUGUAAUCCGAGCUACUCGGGAGGCUGAGGCAGAGAACCGUUUGAAGCUGGGAGGCGGAGGUUGCAGUGAGCCAAGAUCACACCACUGCACUCCAGCCUGAGCGACAGAAUGAGACUCUGUCACACACACACACACACACACACACACACACACACACACACACACACACAAGAAUGACAUGAGGCUGGCACGGUGGCUCACUCCUGUAAUCCCAGCACUCUGGGAGGCCGAGGCAGGCGGAUCACCUGAGGUCGGGAGUUUGAGACCAGCCUCACCAACAUGGAGAAACGCUGUCUCUGCUAAAAAUACAAAAUUAGCCAGGCAUGGUGGUGCAUGCCUGUGAUCCCAGCUAGUCGGGAGGCUGAGGCAGGAGAAUCACUUGAACCCAGCAGGAAAAGGUUGUGGUGAGCUGAGAUUGUGCCAUUGCACUCCAACCUGGGCAACAAAAUUGAAACUCUGUCUCAAAAAAAAAAAAAAAAAAAAAAAAAAAAAAAAAAAAUAGGCCAGGUGCGGUAGCUCACGCCUGUAAUCCCAGCACUUUGGGAGGCUGAGGUGGGUGAAUCACAAGGUCAAGAGAUGGAGACCAUCCUGGGCAACAUGGUGAAACCCCGUCUCUACUAAAAAUACAAAAAUUAGCUGAGCAUGGUGAUGCACGCCUGUAGUCCCAGCUACUCGGGAGGCUGAGGCAGGAGAACUGCUUGAACUCAGGAGGCAGAGGUUGCAGUGAGCCAAGAUCCCACCACUGCACUCCAGCCUGGUGACAGAGUGAGACUCCGUCUCAAAAAAAAAAAAAAAAAAAUGACAUGAAUAUACUUCACACAACGGAACUGCACACUUCAACACGGUUAGAUGGUAAUUAUCAUAAGUAUUUUACCACAGGUUAACAUGUUUCAGAACUUGAAAAGGAAGUAAUUACCUUCAGCUCUCUGAGUUCUAGAAUUUGUAACAUUUCACCCCCUGCUCCUUCCUGAUCUGCACUGGAGCAUCUUCCUUCUGUCCCUGCUCUACUCAGAGUUCACUUUCCCUUCCCUCACAUCAGCUUCAUUGAGGCUGGUUUGAACUUAACGCAAAACAUCCUCACUAAUGACUGAAUUCCCACCAAGAUUUCCAUAUUAUCACAGUAUGCUUUUAAUCUUUGAAGAUAUUAAAUAUUUGUUCUCAUCAUAGCUAAAAUGCAAUGCAAAUCCCAUCUCAGAUGUGGGUCAGAUACCUAUGAAUCUCCUGAGGUAGUCAUUGAAAUGACUUUUUUCUUGAGACGGAGUGUCACUCUCAACCAUGCUGAAGUGCAGUGGUGCUACCUUGGCUCACGGCACACUCCACCUCCCAGAUUCAAGCGAUUCUUGUGCCUCGGCCUCCCAAGUAGCUGGGAUUACAGGUGCCUGCUACCAUGCCUGCCUAAUUUUUGUCUUUUUAGUAGAGAUGGGGUUUCACCAUGUUGGCCCAUCUGGUCUUGAACUCCUGACCUCAAGUGAUCCAUCUGCCUCAGCCUCCCAAAGUGCUGGGAUUACAGGCAUGAGCCACCACACCUGGCCUGAAAUAAUAUCUUUCAAAUUCUUUGUAGAAUUUGUUUUUUCCUGAUUUCUGCACAUAGGAUAAAAAAAAAAAAUCAUGUACUAGGAUUUCGAGAGAAGCAAUGGGUAAUCUAAAAAGAUGAAAACAGCAACCACGUCAAUCCCACAGCUACUGCUAGAUUUCACAGGAAAGGUAGCUGGCCCAGUUUGGAGCUAGGAGAAAUGUCAAACACAUGAAGAAAUGAGAAGCAAAGAAAUGCCAUCACGCAUGAAUGCUUCAUGGCACCCAUGAUGUCCCUGCCUAGGAGGUAAUGGUAUAGAUGACUAGAUGACAACGACAAAGAUGAGAGGUGCGAAGUUGUCCAAGUCCAACAGCUCAACUGAACUUUCCUAAAUGGAAUUGUUAAAAAGUGGUAAAUUUAAAAACUUCCCCUGGCUCAAGUGGUGGCUCACGCUUGUAAUCCCAGCACUUUGGGAGGCUGAGGCGGGUGGAUCAUUUGAGGUCGGGUUUUGAGACUAGCCUGGCCAACAUGGUAAAACCCCGACUCUACUAAAAAUAAAAAAUUAGCUGGGCAUGGUGGUGGGCACCUGUAAUCCCAGCUACUUGAGAGGCUGAGGCAGGGGAAUCACUUGAAGCCAGGAGGUGGAGGUUGCAGUGAGCCGAGGUCACACCAUUAUACUCCAGCCUGGGCAACAGAGGGAGACUCGUCUUGGGGGUGAGAAAAGAAAAAAAAAAAAAAAAAAGCUUCCUCCAAUUUAUACCGAAAAUUCUCUGUUCAGGACUAAGUGGCAUAGAGAAUGUUAAAUGUGCCUAGAUAUCUUCAUAACUCACAUAUUUUCUGUUUUCUACAUAUCUUGAAAGGCAGUGCCAAAUGACGUGUAAUUAUCUAGGUGGUAAAACUGAAACAUACUUCCUCUUCCCUUGAAUAUAAAAAAGCAUUGUGGUAUUAGUACUUUUAUCUUGGAUCAUUGUUCAGAAGGAGGUUCAGCCCCCAGACAACCACAUUUUUACUGUCAUGAAUGGCAAGACAAAAUGUAGAGCUCAACUUACCCAAAGGAAAAAAGGCUCAAAAGACAAAUUAUGGCACAACUUAGCAGCCAAAUUCUUACCAAGUACAGACUUUUGACAUACUGAUCUCUCUCCAGUUGCAAGUGGGAACAUGCACUUUGAAUGAUGUCAUUCAAAAUUACCCUGCCCAGACACACUUUUCAUUGAUUCUCUUGGAGGGCAGUUCUAAGAGAUUCUCUGGGGCUUUCUCUGCAUCAUGAGACGCAGUGCAGUUCUGCCCUUCACCUUCCGGCAGUUUGUCACCUCGUCCCUAUGACCUCAGAGGAACUUUGUCUCAGGCCAAUUGUUUGUUCCUUGGGCUCUUUCAUUUCCCCUAAAAAUCAUUUGCUGCCCCUCUAAAUGGCCUACAUCUCCAUCUAUCUCCCUCUCCCCUCAGAAGAGGGUGCUCUUUAAGCAUCAACCAUCCAGCCCUUCUAGCAGUCUCAUUUUUCAGCUGGUUCCCAUGUUUAUGCCUGUUCUAUGUUUUUCUUUUCCUGUUAAGCUG